rnacentral:snoRNA from 1 species
GUUUAUGUGAUGAUAAGUUCAAUCUGAACAAAGUGCUGUUGAUCACCAACUUACAAUUAAACCAAAAGGAUUCUGAAAUUUU